rnacentral:rRNA from 1 species
UGGGGAAUCUUGCGCAAUGGGCGAAAGCCUGACGCAGCAACGCCGCGUGCGGGAAGAAGGCCUUCGGGUCGUAAACCGCUUUCAGUUGGGACGAAGCUUCCGAGGUUAAUAGCCUACGGGGUGACGGUACCUUCAGAAGAAGCCCCGGCUAACUACGUGCCAGCAGCCGCGGUAAUACGUAGGGGGCGAGCGUUGUCCGGAAUCAUUGGGCGUAAAGCGCGUGUAGGCGGUUUGGUAGGUCUCGCGUUAAAGCCUGCAGCUCAACUGCAGAGGUGCGCGGGAAACCACCUCACUAGAGUCCGGAAGAGGAGAGUGGAAUUCCAGGUGUAGCGGUGAAAUGCGCAGAUAUCUGGAGGAACACCAGUGGCGAAGGCGGCUCUCUGGGACGGUACUGACGCUGAGACGCGAAAGCGUGGGGAGCGAACAG